AUAUAUAUAUAUUAGGAAAAAAUUUUUCUAGAAUGUUCCAAUAAGCAAAACUUGAAUUUGCUGCACACCAGCAAGUUUUUACAUAGCAUUUACGCUGUAUUAGGUAUUAUAAGUAAUCUAGAGAUGAAAAAGUGUAUGGGAGGAUGUACAUAGGUUCUAGGAAAAUACUAUACCAUUUUAUGUAAGGGACUUGAGCAUCCUCAGAUUUUGGUAUCCACAGGGAUCCUGGACCAAUCCUCCUCAGAUACCAAGGGAAGCCUUUACAUCCAUUCAGUGGAACACUACUCGGCAGUAAAGAGGGCCGAACAACUGACACACACAACAUGGAUAGAUGUCAAAAUAAUUAUGCCAAGUGGAAGAAGCCAGACUCAAAAGGCUACAUGCUGUGUGUUUCCAUUUGUAUGACAUUCUGGAAAAGGCAUAACUAUAGGCAUGAGGAACAGACCAGGGGUUACCAGGCUUAGAGGUGGGGAAAUAGUGUGACCACAAGGGAAUUUGGAGGUGAUGGACUGUCCUGUGUCCUGAUAGUGGUGGUUGUGACACUAAUCCACGCAUGUGUUAAAACUCAGAGACCUGUACACCACCAAAGGGUGGAUUUUACUGUUUGUAAAUUUUUUUUAAUGUUUAAGACAGAAUAUUUGAAAAAGAGUCGAAUGUUCCUGCUCACCCCUCCUUUGCUCUCUUCGUUCGUCACUGAAGAGCCUGCCCAGGGGAGCUGCUGGCUCAAGAAGGACCUGAGGACAGACCGGAGCCCACCUACGCCCUGAAGAAGAGCCUUCUCACCUGCCGAGGAAAAACCACAGAGCAGAACACAGGCAUAGACCCUACAAGCUACUCACAGACUGGUCUCAGCCCAGCCUGUAUGACGAUUUGCUGCGAAACCUCGGACAAGGGUCUUCCUCUUUGGAGCCUGAGAUACUGUGAUUUAUAAGAAAUAUAUAUUUAGCCUUCAUGCACUGUUUCUGGCACAGAGCUCCUAAAACUCUUGGAAUUUCCUAAGCUUUGAGAGCAAUAAAGGUGCCUUUUGUUGUAUGAAGGAGGUGACUUUUGGAAAGCACCUAGGUUAACCUCAGAAUGAGGACUGGUUGCCAGGGGAACCAACCAGGCGAUUGGAGGGUUAGAAUUUUCAGUCCCUCCCCUCCCCCAGCCCCCACCAACCUCUAGGGAGGGGAAAGGGGCUAGACUUUCAGUUCAAUCACCAAUGGCCAAUGAUGUAAUCCACCGUUCCUAUGUAAUGAAGUCUCUUCCCACGCACCUUGCCCUGUGUAUCUCUUCUAUCUGGCCAUUCCUGAGUUAUAUCUGUUUACAAUAAUCGGGUAAUCUAGUGAAUAAAAUGUUUCUCUGGGUCCUGUGAGCUGCUCUAACAAAUUAAUUAAGUCUGAGGAGGGGGUCUUGGCUCCCAUCUAUAGGCGGUUGGUCAGAAGCACAGGUGACAACCUGGACUUGCAAUUGGCAUCUGAAGUGGGGUGGGCAGGGAGUCGUAAGCACGAACCCUUCACCUGUGGGAUCUGAUGCUAUUUCCAGGGAGAUAGUGUCGGAACUGAGUUAAUUGCUUGGUGGUGUGGAAAAAAGCACUCACAUCGGAUAUCUCGUCUGUAAAACGAGGGACAUGCUGGACCCCAGUGUUCUUUCCAGUGACCCAGCCGCUGGAAAGCCGCUGGGAGCCGCUGCAGGCUGGUCCACUCGAUGGGAGGAAGGUGUGCGGACUGGACGGGGCCCCUCUGCCCGGCUACCUGCCGCCUCUUCUCUGUGCCCCUCCGCCUCCCUCCCUCAUCCCUGGGGGCCCCAUCUGGCACCAUCCUCA